ensembl:lncRNA
GGAAGAGGCCCUCCAUGGCCUCUGCAUCAGCUCCUGUUUCCUGACCUGCUUGAGUCCCAGUCCUGACUUCCUUUGGUGAUGAACAGCAAUGUGGAAGGGGACCAGAGGACAGCACAUCAUUGCUCAGGUGUCACUUAACUCCCAGAACACAUGAAGUGGCUUAGGCUAGUUGAACCCAGAGAUCUGCCUGUCUAUGCCUCCCACCCUGGGACUACAUACAUGCAUCAGCACAUCCAACUCUUUAGACUGUGGAUUCUGGAGGUUGAAUUCAACCACAUCUGCUUAUAAGUCAUUUUAGCCAGAGACAAGAAUGACUCUACCUUAAAUUCAAUCAUGAAGGAAUACGAUAACACUGGAAUCCUAUAGUUCUUGUAAGACUUUACCAAAGUUUUGUCUGGGGAUUAACAAAUGAUG